AGAGUUUGAUCAUGGCUCAGGACGAACGCUGGCGGCGUGCCUAAUACAUGCAAGUAGAACGCUGAAGAAAGGAGCUUGCUUCUUUUGGAUGAGUUGCGAACGGGUGAGUAACGCGUAGGUAACCUGCCUUGUAGCGGGGGAUAACUAUUGGAAACGAUAGCUAAUACCGCAUAACAGCUUUUGACACAUGUUAGAAGCUUGAAAGAUGCAAUUGCAUCACUACGAGAUGGACCUGCGUUGUAUUAGCUAGUAGGUAGGGUAACGGCCUACCUAGGCGACGAUACAUAGCCGACCGGAGAGGGUGAUCGGCCACACUGGGACUGAGACACGGCCCAAACUCCUACGGGAGGCAGCAGUAGGGAAUCUUCGGCAAUGGGGGCAACCCUGACCGAGCAACGCCGCGUGAGUGAAGAAGGUUUUCGGAUCGUAAAGCUCUGUUGUAAGAGAAGAACGUGUGUGAGAGUGGAAAGUUCACACAGUGACGGUAACUUACCAGAAAGGGACGGCUAACUACGUGCCAGCAGCCGCGGUAAUACGUAGGUCCCGAGCGUUGUCCGGAUUUAUUGGGCGUAAAGCGAGCGCAGGCGGUUUAAUAAGUCUGAAGUUAAAGGCAGUGGCUUAACCAUUGUUCGCUUUGGAAACUGUUAAACUUGAGUGCAGAAGGGGAGAGUGGAAUUCCAUGUGUAGCGGUGAAAUGCGUAGAUAUAUGGAGGAACACCGGUGGCGAAAGCGGCUCUCUGGUCUGUGACUGACGCUGAGGCUCGAAAGCGUGGGGAGCAAACAGGAUUAGAUACCCUGGUAGUCCACGCCGUAAACGAUGAGUGCUAGGUGUUAGGUCCUUUCCGGGGCUUAGUGCCGCAGCUAACGCAUUAAGCACUCCGCCUGGGGAGUACGACCGCAAGGUUGAAACUCAAAUGAAUUGACGG
rnacentral:rRNA from 1 species